AUUGAACGCUGGCGGCAGGCUUAACACAUGCAAGUCGAGCGGAGUGAUGGUGCUUGCACUAUCACUUAGCGGCGGACGGGUGAGUAAUGCUUAGGAAUCUGCCUAUUAGUGGGGGACAACAUCUCGAAAGGGAUGCUAAUACCGCAUACGUCCUACGGGAGAAAGCAGGGGAUCACUUGUGACCUUGCGCUAAUAGAUGAGCCUAAGUCGGAUUAGCUAGUUGGUGGGGUAAAGGCCUACCAAGGCGACGAUCUGUAGCGGGUCUGAGAGGAUGAUCCGCCACACUGGGACUGAGACACAGCCCAGACUCCUACGGGAGGCAGCAGCGGGGAAUAUUGGACAAUGGGGGGAACCCUGAUCCAGCCAUGCCGCGUGUGUGAAGAAGGCCUUAUGGUUGUAAAGCACUUUAAGCGAGGAGGAGGCUCUUUUGGUUAAUACCCAAGAUGAGUGGACGUUACUCGCAGAACAAGCACCGGCUAACUCUGUGCCAGCCGCCGCGGUAA
rnacentral:rRNA from 1 species